rnacentral:tRNA from 1 species
GCCGGCUUAGCUCAGCUGGUAGAGCAACGCACUUGUAAUGCGUAGGUCUUCGGUCCGAAUCCGGAAGCCGGCACCA